rnacentral:ncRNA from 1 species
UAUUUUGAGAGUUUGAUCCUGGCUCAGGAUGAACGCUGGCGGCGUGCCUAACACAUGCAAGUCGAGCGGAGCUUU